UGACUUGGUGUACCUUGGCAAAACUGCCUCAGUUCAGAGGUAGUGCUGAUAAAGUUAUCGGAGAAGCUCUGAUGCUGUGAUUUUUUUUUUGGUUUACCCGAGUUAAAUACUUUUCACAUAUUUUACAGCUUUAGCAGCGACUCCGGAAGCGACAGCUGCUGUUUCUACACGACGCAUUUUUUUUUUUUUAAAAGAGGAGCUUGAAAUAAUCUACACAGUCCACUGUCGAGUUGGCAAAGAUGUUCCAGAUAAAGAGGAUCUGCUGCAUCGGAGCUGGGUAUGUCGGAGGCCCAACGUGUAGUGUGAUCGCCCACAUGUGUCCAGAGAUCACCGUGACCGUUGUGGAUGUCAACGAGUCGCGCAUCAAAGCCUGGAACUCCGACACCCUGCCCAUAUACGAGCCGGGACUGAAAGAGGUGGA